rnacentral:rRNA from 1 species
UACGGAGGGUGCGAGCGUUAUCCGGAUUUAUUGGGCGUAAAGGGCGCGUAGGCUGAAGAUUAAGUCAGUGGUGAAAUCCUGCGGCUCAACCGUAGAACUGCCUUUGAUACUGGUUUUCUUGAGUAUAGUAGAGGUAGGCGGAAUGUGUAAUGUAGCGGUGAAAUGCUUAGAUAUUGCACAGAACAUCAAUUGCGGAGGCAGCUUACUGAGCUAUAACUGACGCUGAGGCGCGAAAGCGUGGGGAGCGAACAGG